rnacentral:tRNA from 1 species
AUGAAUGUAGUUUAAUGGUAGAACCAUUCUCCAAUAAACGAGAAGGUGCAGGUUCAACUCCUGCCAUUCAUA